GUCUGUACCUGGACCCCUGGACCUGCCUGGGGCCUGUCACAGGGUGAGCUGGACCGUGGGCUGGGUCUCUGCUAUACCUGUGCCAAGCUUACUCCACUUCUCCAGGUGAAGGGAUGAGUAAGCCCAAGAAUGCAUGCCACAAGAUAAUCUUCAACGGAACUAUAGACAAGCGAGAGCAGUUCAAGUAACCAUUGAAUAGGAGCACAGCACACCAUGUGACAUGGAGUACAUUACUCCUCAUCAGCUCCCUGCAUGUUCCUUCUGCAACAGGACUGGACAGAUCCCUCAAGAAAAGCCUACUUCCAUUGAAGACAUCUCUACUUCAGGAGGAGCAGGCUACUUGUCCCACAUUUGGU